CCCGGGUGAGUUGAGGCAGUUUAGGUGAAAGAUUCCUACUUAAUACCGGGCGAGCAGAAAUUACACCAACAGUUUCGCUUCUGCAUGCAGCAGACGUGUCCCUUCCAGAAACGGACACCCAUACAACUUCCUCAAGGUGCACUCAAGGGUGCACUUCCCGUACUACGAGCUGUAUCUGACCGAGACGGGCAAAAUCCUCGGAUCAAUUCUCUCGCUGUUGCUGUUCUUUAGAUGCGUCCGGAGCGGUUCUUCCAGCAGAUCUGCGACGGAUUCGACAAACGGCAGCAAUAUGCUGUCAGGGAUUCUCGCAAAUCGAUGCUAGAGGGCGCUUACCUCCGGAAAGAAAUCGACCAGAUAAUGAUCCGGCGGCCCUUUAAGGAUAUUAUGUCGCAGACCAUGCUGUCUCCGGACACGCUAGCCUUCCAGCAGCCCUCGGUGUAAGGCGGGCACCCGCCUGAGUACCCUCGCGGCUCAUAUCCUCGAUCAGCGGCGGACACAGGGACAUGGUGGAUGGAAGUCCCGUUCGGUUGGGCCAACAUCGCCGAAAAUUUCCCCUCCCACCUCGGAAACGAUCAAUCGAAGUGAUGAAGGAGCUCAAGGCGCAGCAAGAAGCCAAUUGCUAUGAGAAGGGACUUACCAGAGGGGCAACUCAGGAUAAGAACGAGAAGUUCUGUCUUCCACUCCAAAUGCAAACUGCGGAAAAAAUUCUCCAGCAGAGGGCGCCUACCCUCGGAAGGGAAUCGACCGAAUGAUAAACCGGCGAGCCACUGAGGGCGCUACGCCGCAGAUCGUGCUGCCUCCGGACUCGCCACCGUCCCAGCAGCUCUCGGUGCAACGAGAAUCCACCCACCAGAGCUUACCCUCGCGUCUCACAUCCUCGAUCAACGGUGGGGACAUGGUGGAUAGGAGUCCGCUCCGGUUGGGCCGAAAACCGCCGAAACUUUCUCCUCCCAUACAUCAAACGACGAGUGAACCAAGUAGCUGAAGGAGCUCAAGGUGCAGCUGAAAACUGAGCGCCCCUUAAUGGUGCAACAGCUGCAGAACAAGAACGAGAUGUUCGUAGAAGAACCUACGCAGUACCAAGUACCUAUGUGAAGCAAAUUCGCGAAUUGUGGACGAAACUGCAAGCGCGUAAUCUGGAGCACGAGUCACCCAACAGGAAGCGCGGUUCGGACCACAAGGAGGCGGUGACCGAGGACAAUCGAAAUUUGACCAAGAUGGUGGUUUGACGUCGGUUCGCAGGAACAGGAAUUGGACGAUUCAAGAGAUGCUGUUGUAAUGCAAAGAAUAAAUCACCGGACAGCGUGCUGAUACCAACUGAAUCCUGCCUGCAGUGUAACAUUCAUUUGUUGGAUGCUACGAGUUUAUGUGAAGUUGCUAUUCCAGCUAAUUAUUUUUUGUCUACAAGGAGCUCCUCUUGAGGAUUGAUUCAGAAUUUUCCUCCACAUACUUCUAGGAAUCUCAAAUGGAGUUUCUUGUGGAAAUUCUUGGAUUCAUUUUGGAAUUUAAAUAAGAAUUUCCACUGAAGUUUAAGGAUCUGUCUAGGGAUUCCUUAUACUGUUCUUCGGAUUUAUCUAAAAUGUUCUGGAUUUCUUUUCCAAGUUUCACAAUAUUUCAUCAGGUAUGUAAUACAUAUCUGGAUUCCUCCUAAAUUACAUCUUGAAAAUUUUUCAAAGAGAUCUUUCUGAAAAUCCUGCAGGAGAUUCUAAAGAAUCCUUCAUGAAUUCAUCCUGGAAUUCAAUCUGAAUUAUUUCAGGAAUUUCGUGUGAUAAUUCUUCAAAUAACUCUAUCUGAGUAUUCCUUUAGUAAUUCCAUCUUCCAGAAACUCUUAAUGGGGUAUGCUCAAUGAAUUCCAUCUGGCGAUUCUUCCAGGAAUCACAUCUAGGAAUUCAUCCAGUAAUUCGAUCUGGACAUUUUUCCAGAAAUUCUAUCUGGCGGUUCCUACAGAAAUUGCACCUGGGGAUUGCACUAACAAUUCGAUAUUGUUUCUUUCUAGUGAUUUCUCAAGGGUUUUUUUUUUUUCUAUCCAGGUAUCCCAUCUGGGGAUUCCUCGAAAUAUAUGAAAUAAUUCUCCUAAAUCUCCUUGUAUAUAGGGAUUUUCAGGAAUUAUUCUAAUAUUUUCCAGGAUGCAAUUGACUUCCAUAAAUGAUUAAGAAUUAAGAAUCCCAGAUGACUGGGAAUUUCUGAGAAUCCUUAUGAAUUUUCAGGAAUCAUUUAAAUAUUUUCCGGGAAGCUACUGAAUUAAUUAAAUGGUUGAGAAUAUUUUCUGAAAUUCGUAGAAUACAUUCCAGAUGACUGAGAAUUUCUGAGAAUCCUUGGGAAUUUUCAGGAAUUAUUUAAAUAUUUUCCGGGAAGCUACUAAAUUCCAUAAAUGAUUAGGAAUAUUUUCUAAAAUUCGUAGAAUACAUUCCAGAUGAUUGGGAAUUUCUAAGAAUUCUUAGGGAUUUUCAGGAAUUAUUUAAAUAUUUUCCGGGAAGCUACUGAAUUCCAUAAAUGGUUGAGAAUAUUUUCUGAAAUUCGUAGAAUACAUUCCGGAUGACUGGGAAUUUCUGAGAAUCCUUAGGGAUUUUCAGGAAUUAUUCAAAUAUUUUCCGGGAUGCAAUUGACUUCCAUAAAUGAUUAAGAAUAUUUUCUAAAAUUCGUAGAAUACAUUCCAGAUAACUGGGAAUUUCUGAGAAUCCUUAGGAAUUUUCAUGAAUUAUUUAAAUAUUUUCCGGGAAGCUACUGAAUUCCAUAAAUGAUU